AUUUUGGUUUAUAUUAUUUAUUAAUCAACGUACUAAUAAUUUCAUAACGUAGGAUCGUGAACGAGUUGGAAAAUGUAGUAGGCAGAAACAUAAAUUCACUCACACAGCUGGGUCCAAAAGUUUUGCUUGUGUAGCUCACUCUGAGGAACUGUCGUCCGGUCAGAAAGUUGGACGCCUUCAACUUUUUGACAUUACACAUAGGAAGAAAGAUGGGAACCCUAUGACUCCUGAAGCUGCAGAAAUUCUGGAUAAACUAAAGGAUAAAAAAGCGGAGUACGAAGCGAUUGCUUCCAGUGAUAGUUCUGUUCAUAUUGAAGACAUUGAUAACCGUAUUAUCACUGAUGUUUUGGGUCCUGAAAGGUACGGUCGGGUUCGAUUUCAAGGAUCUUUUGUUAGCCCAACCCAAUAUUUUGGAUCCAUCUCGCAACAAUACA